CCCUUAGAUGUUCUGGGCCGCACGCGUGCUACACUGAGUGGAUCAGCGGGUCAGGUUGCGCGAAAGCGUUUCCUAAUCUUUAAAUCCGCUCGUGAUGGGGAUUGACGGUUGCAAUUUUCUGUCAUGAACGAGGAAUACCUUGUAAGCGCGGGUCAUCAUCCCGCGCUGAAUACGUCCCUGCCCUUUGUACACACCGCCCGUCGCUCCUACCGAUUGAGUGGUCCGUUGAGGCUUUGGGAUCUGAGCGGAAAGAGCGUUUCGCUGUUUCUGCUCGGAAAACUCAGUCGAACCUUAUCAUUUAGAGGAAGGAGAAGUCGUAACA
rnacentral:rRNA from 1 species